GAGGGCGGGGGAUAACCACUGGAAACGGUGGCUAAUACCGCAUAAUGUCGCGAGACCAAAGUGGGGGACCUGAAAGGGCCUCACGCCGUCGGAUGAACCCAGAUGGGAUUAGCUGGUAGGUAGGGUAAUGGCCUACCUAGGCGACGAUCUCUAGCUGGUCUGAGAGGAUGACCAGCCACACUGGGACUGAGACACGGCCCAGACUCCUACGGGAGGCAGCAGUGGGGAAUAUUGCACAAUGGGCGCAAGCCUGAUGCAGCCAUGCCGCGUGUAUGAAGAAGGCCUUCGGGUUGUAAAGUACUUUCAGCGGGGAAGGAAGGGUUUAGCCUGAAGAAGGUUGGACUUUGACGUUACCC
rnacentral:rRNA from 1 species